AAUCCAUUCCGAACUCAGAAGUGAAACACACCAGCGCCGAUGGUAGUGUGGGGUCUCCCCAUGCGAGAGUAGGUCACCGCCAGAC
rnacentral:rRNA from 1 species